rnacentral:tRNA from 2 species
GGAAGUGUGGCCGAGCGGUUGAAGGCCCCGGUCUUGAAAACCGGCGACCCGAAAGGGUUCCAGAGUUCGAAUCUCUGCGCUUCCGCCA